rnacentral:rRNA from 1 species
AGCGAACGCUGGCGGCAGGCUUAACACAUGCAAGUCGAACGCCCCCGCAAGGGGAGUGGCAGACGGGUGAGGAACACGUGGGAACGUACCCUUCGGUUCGGAAUAACUCAGGGAAACUUGUGCUAAUACCGGAUACGUCCGAAAGGAGAAAGAUUUAUCGCCGAAGGAUCGGCCCGCGUCUGAUUAGCUUGUUGGUGAGGUAACGGCUCACCAAGGCGACGAUCAGUAGCUGGUCUGAGAGGAUGAUCAGCCACACUGGGACUGAGACACGGCCCAGACUCCUACGGGAGGCAGCAGUGGGGAAUAUUGGACAAUGGGGGCAACCCUGAUCCAGCCAUGCCGCGUGAGUGAUGAAGGCCUUAGGGUUGUAAAGCUCUUUUGUCCGGGAAGAUAAUGACGGUACCGGAAGAAUAAGCCCCGGCUAACUUCGUGCCAGCAGCCGCGGUAAUACGAAGGGGGCUAGCGUUGCUCGGAAUCACUGGGCGUAAAGCGCACGUAGGCGGGCUUUUAAGUCGGAGGUGAAAUCCCAGGGCUCAACCCUGGAACUGCCUUCGAUACUGGAAGUCUUGAGUCCGGAAGAGGUGAGUGGAACUCCGAGUGUAGAGGU